GACUCACUGGUCUAGCGGUUAUGAUUUCUGUCUAACAUUGUUCAAUUGUGAAGUCUACACAGAAGGUUCCUGGUUCGAUUCCAGGGUGAGUCA